GUGGCUGUAGCUCAAUUGGCUAGAGCGUCUGAUUGUGGUUCAGAAGGUUUGCGGGAUCGUUCCCCGUCAGCCACCCCA
rnacentral:tRNA from 1 species